rnacentral:rRNA from 1 species
CUACGGGCUGCUGCAGUGGGGAAUAUUGCACAAUGGAGGAAACUCUGAUGCAGCAACGCCGCGUGGAGGAUGACACUUUUCGGAGCGUAAACUCCUUUUAUAUAGGAAGAAGAUGACGGUACUAUAUGAAUAAGCGCCGGCUAACUCCGUGCGCAGCAGCCGCGGUAAUACGGAGGGCGCAAGCGUUACUCGGAAUCACUGGGCGUAAAGAGCGUGUAGGCGGAUUAAAAAGUCAGAAGUGAAAUCCUAUAGCUUAACUAUAGAACUGCUUCUGAAACUCUUAAUCUAGAAUAUGGGAGAGGUAGAUGGAAUUGCUGGUGUAGGGGUAAAAUCCGUAGAGAUCAGAAGGAAUACCGAUUGCGAAGGCGAUCUACUAGAACAUUAUUGACGCUGAGACGCGAAAGCGUGGGGAGCAAACAGGAUUAGAUACCCCCGUAGUC